UAAACAGGCUUCAAACCCUAUUUCCUACAAUUUACUUCAGAGCCAAUGUGCCUAGGUUCGGGCACUACAUGGGUUGCUGGUGGGCAGUGACAAGCCAGGAUUUUGUUCACUUGAGUUAGAUGAAACUGAGGAGAUUGCCAGGCCAGGGUUUGCUUUGAUCGAUGGCCUGUCCCAGGCUUGCCAGCAAUGCAGCUCUUCGCCCAGUGGCCAGUUUGGUUUUAAUCGCUGUGCCUCAUGUGAAGGCGGCUGUGCCGUAACAGCAGAAGGGAAGCAUGCAGGCUUCUCGUCUAGGCCGUGCGAGAGCCAGAGAAGAAAAUAAUAAUAACGAGCAGGACCGAGGCCAGCUGGCAGGGCAGUGGCAGCAAAGGGAUUUUGCACGGGAGUUCUCGCAGGUCGGCCUAAUUGGAACCGUGGACCUCGGGCGGGAGACGAGGAGCGGCGCUGGCGGGCAGCCAAGCCCAUAAUCCUCCGCCUCCCUCCCAGCCCGGAGCCCUUUGCAUUGUGCUUGAUGAGAGAGGUUGAGGGCGAGCAGGUGAAAGAAUGAAUUUGUGGGUGUCGCUUACAAAACGAGAGUCAAUUGAGAGGCCUGCUUGUGGAGGACUAAGCCGGCUGGCGGGAGGCCUCGGAAGAAGCUGCUCCUUGGAGGGCCCAACUCCGCCGCCAGAGCGAGCCAGACCAGGCCUCACGGGGCCGGCCUACGAUUGGGGCAGAGAGGGAGGCCUUGGCCCGGGAAGGGAGCGCAGAGGGAGAUGGGAGGGCGCCUGACGAGAGUGAAGGAAGGAGGAAAGAAAAAAGGGGACUGCGGGCGGGGAGAGGGAGGCUGGAAGGCGCCGCCGAGCUGCUGAGGGCUCAUUGGGCCAGGAAGUGCCGUUGCAGGGAAGGCGGAGAGUUUGCAGGCGGCCCAGGCCGAAACUGCAGCGAGCGGGCAUGGGAACAGCCUGCUUGAGGGGAGAGGAAACGGAGCCGCAGCUCCCGGGCUUCCUCCAUUAUUCGCCAGGCAGCCGCCACCGCCGCGGGUUCAUGCUGCCGCCUUCGCUCCUCUGAGACGAAAAAGCUCGCCUUGUUGUGGCGCUGCACUGAGGGGAGGCAACUUACUGAGCAACUCAUUGAGUCGGGGCACCCCCCAAGAAAAGCAGACGGGGAAAAGGCGCGAGUUCGCGUUUCCCUUUUCCCCUCCUCUCCUCUCAGCUACGCGCGGGUUUCCACCACGCGAACCGGGGAAAGGAGAAGGGGUCUCGCUUGUUUUUAUUCAUUGGCGGCCGGGAGCUAGACCGGGGCUCACGUGAGCCGCGGAAAGUAGAGGCCUCGCGCUGGAUUGAUGCGAAGGGAAACAUCUGCUCGGUGGAGAGGGUGAUGGCGGUGAAGAAGGCGAGUGGGAGUUCUCAAAAUGGAGAAAGUUUGUCUUGGUCGUUUCAAACGCUUUUGAAAAAAAAAUAAAGGUAGUGAGUUCUUUACGAAUGAAAGUGUCUGUUCUGCUUGAAAGGUGGGCUCCCCACCUCCCAAAAACCAAGUAAUGACUUUUUGUCAAAAUGGGGGUGGGGGGAUUAUGUUUAUACCACGGGUUUGAUUUUGUUAAUUUAAAUAACUCAUAAAUAAAUGUGUUCACUCCAA